rnacentral:rRNA from 2 species
GACAGAGGGUGCAAACGUUGUUCGGAAUUACUGGGCGUAAAGCGCGUGUAGGCAGCUUGGCAAGUCGGGUGUGAAAGCCCUGGGCUCAACCUAGGAAGUGCACUCGAAACUGCUUCGCUUGAGUAUCGGAGAGGAAAGCGGAAUUCUCGGUGUAGAGGUGAAAUUCGUAGAUAUCGAGAGGAACACCAGUGGCGAAGGCGGCUUUCUGGACGAUCACUGACGCUGAGACGCGAAAGCGUGGGGAGCAAACAGG